rnacentral:rRNA from 1 species
AACGACUCUCGGCAACGGAUAUCUCGGCUCUCGCAUCGAUGAAGAACGCAGCGAAAUGCGAUACUUGGUGUGAAUUGCAGAAUCCCGYGAACCAUCGAGUUUUUGAACGCAAGUUGCGCCCAAAGCCUUUAGGCCGAGGGCACGUCUGCCUGGGUGUCACGC